UACGUAGGGGCAAGCGUUAUCCGGAUUUACUGGGUGUAAAGGGAGCGUAGACGGUAUGGUAAGUCAGAUGUGAAAGCCCGGGGCUCAACCCCGGGACUGCAUUUGAAACUAUCAAACUGGAGUGCAGGAGAGGUAAGUGGAAUUCCUAGUGUAGCGGUGAAAUGCGUAGAUAUUAGGAGGAACACCAGUGGCGAAGGCGGCUUGCUGGACUGAAACUGACGCUGAGGCACGAAAGCGUGGGGAGCAAACAGGAUUAGAUACCCGGGUAGUCCCUGA
rnacentral:rRNA from 1 species